UGGUGUGAUUCCAACCUGCGCGGCUGUUCUCUUGAGCAGUGGUCAUUUAUCUCCAUCCACCUUCUCUCCCACCUAAGUGCGUGCGGCCACCCAAUGGAAGAUGCCAUGGACAUGGACAUGAGCCCCCUGAGACCCCGGAACUAUCUUUUUGGUUGUGAACUAAAGGCCGACAAAGAUGAUCACUUUAAGGUGGAUAAUGAUAAAAAUAAGCACCAGUUAUCUUUAAGAACGGUCAGUUUAGGGGCUGGUGCGAAGGAUGAAUUGCACAUUGUUGAAGCACAGGCAAUGAAUUACGAAGGCAGUCCAACUAAAGUAACACUGGCAACUUUGAAAAUGUCUGUACAGCCAUGGUUUCCCUUGGGGGCUUUGAAGUAACACCACCAGUGUCUUCUGGUUGAAAUGUGGCUCAGGGCCAGUGCGUAUUAGUGGACAGCACUUAGUAGCUGUGGAGGAAGAUGCAAGAGAAGAUGAAGAGGAGGGGGAUGUGAAACUCUUAAGUAUAUCUGGAAAGCGAUCGGCCCCUGGAGGUGGUAGCAAGGUUCCACAGAAAAAAGUAAAACUUGCUGCUGAUGAAGAUGAUGAUGAUGAUGAUGAAGAUGAUGAUGAUGAUGAAGAUGAUGAUGAUGAUUUUGAUGAUGUGGAAACUAAAGAAAAAGUGCCAGUGAAAAAAGGACAAGAAUCCUUCAAAAAACAGGGAAAAAAAACUCCUAAAACACCAAAAGGACCUAGUUCUGUAGAAGACGUUAAAGCAAACAUGUAAGCAAGUAUAGAAAAAGGUGGUUCUCUUCCCAAAGUGGAAGCCAAGUUCAUCAAUUAUGUUGAAGAACUGCUUCUGGAUGACUGACCAGGAGGCUAUUCAAGAUCUCUGGCAGUGGAGGAAGUCUCUUUAA